UCCAUUCCAGAUUUCUUGUUAGGGUUUCAUUGCAUCUCCUCAUCUCCGUCACACCUCGUUCUCUCUCUCAUCUCCGGUGGCAAGGCGGAGCAGCGUCGAAGGCGGUUCUCAUUGGUGGAUUCUAGCAAAGGGCAAGCAAUGGUUCGAGAUUUGGUCUUCUCUUGUGUAAGUUAAUUCUCUUUUCUUUCUACUUAGUUAUCUCUCUACUUAAAAGCUUAAAAUUAUUUGGUUCAUUAAACUGUUAUGAGACUAUGCUGAAAAAGGUCUCAGCUUGAUUUGCUUUUCUUCUUUCUUUGUCUUUUGGCUACCUUUGAAGAUUGUUGUUGGUGGAAGGCACAAGUAUUUGAUCAAUGGUCUUGAACAUGAAACCUCCAGAGAUCUUAUCGGUCUGUACAAGUAAGAAAGAAUGGUGAAAGAAACUAUUAUUGACUCAUUGUUGGAGAUUAACUACGGAAGACGUUUGAGGAUCGUGAGCAUGAGCUGCUAAGAGGAGGUAGCAAAAGCGUGGUCGUUAGCCUCUGGGACAUUAGGUUUAGAGGGUGUGUGACUGGAAGACGGUGACGUUAGAGAACUCGUUAUUACGGCGUCGGUCGUGGUGUGGUGCGGGCGUAAGG